UUACUCCUAGGACUAAGAAAGUCUUCAAAUCCCUGCAUAGGACUCUCCGACCAGCAUAGUUUGAGAUCUCAACGCUCAGAUGAGGAGGCGACCUCAAAAGUGGUCCGAGGACUCUCUUCGAACUCGGAUCGAGGAGGAGACUAUCGAGAACCCCAAUCUCCUCAACAACUUUUGCCCCAAUCCUCUCUACCGAAAGAUAUUUUGUAUAAAAAAAGAUCAAAAGGAAUGAAUGAACAAGGAAAGCAACUAAAAUAGAGGAGGAGCUGAAAAGACCAAUCAAAAAAGGGAUUUGCAUGGAGUAAGCUCUCUGGAGAACCAAAAAACUCCAUCA
rnacentral:lncRNA from 1 species